rnacentral:tRNA from 1 species
AAAACUUUAAGUUAAUAAUAAACUAUUGACCUUCAAAGUCAAAAAUUCAAUAUGAAUGUUUUG